UACAGAGGUCUCGAGCGUUAGGCGGAAUCACUGGGCUUAAAGCGUGUGUAGGCGGAUCGGUAAGUACCUUGUGAAAUCCCACAGCUUAACUGUGGAACUGCUUGGUAUACUGCCAGUCUUGAGCCAGCUAGGGGCUACCGGAACAAAUGGUGGAGCGGUGAAAUGCGUAGAUAUCAUUUGGAACGCCAAUGGUGAAAACAGGUAGCUGGGGGCUGUGCUGACGCUGAGACACGAAAGCCAGGGGAGCGAACGGG
rnacentral:rRNA from 1 species